UGAACAGAGAGCGUCUCUGAAAAAGUGGAUGGAUGACGAUAACAAAGUCAGGUACUACAUGUUGGGUGCCAUGUCUGAUGACUUGCAGCGCUAGCAUGAGAACAUUAUGACUACCCGCCAAAUGUUGGCUCACCUACAAGAGUUGUUUGGUGAACAAAGUCGCACAGCCAAGUAUCAAGUCUGCCAAAGACUUUUUAAGGCUAAAAUGU
rnacentral:lncRNA from 1 species